rnacentral:lncRNA from 1 species
CUGACAUUUAUGACAUUUUAAUGUGAAAAUCAUUUGAUAGAUCGUUCAAUUUACUAUAAGAAAGAGAAAAAAUCUUCUAUGUUCAGUAUUACUUUAACACUUACUUGGAUUUAACUAGUAACUCACUAAAGGAUAACCAUGAUCUUCCGCUUCCUUGUUGCCAUGGUGAUAGCACUGACGCUGGGCCUUGUAAGUGGACAGUAUGACAACGGGGACAGAUUUGAUAACUAUGAUAGACCUGAUUACAAUGGGCCCGAUUACAAUGGGCCCGAUGGCUAUUACCCAAUGCGGCCACCUAUGCCAUUUAUGGGAGGUCACGGACAUUACUUUCGUCGGCCGAUUGGACCUCCUCCAAUGUACUGGUAACAAUAAAAGACGAUCCACACGGAACGUUAACACACUUAUUACUCGUUGUUUAUGUAAUGCUGAAUCACACACAUUCGAAUAAAAUACAUUGUUUGAA